GAUGAACGCUGGCGGCGUGCCUAAUACAUGCAAGUCGAGCGAACAGAUAAGGAGCUUGCUCCUUUGAAGUUAGCGGCGGACGGGUGAGUAACACGUGGGUAACCUACCUAUAAGACUGGGAUAACUUCGGGAAACCGGAGCUAAUACCGGAUAACAUUUAGAACCGCAUGGUUCUAUAGUGAAAGAUGGUUUUGCUAUCACUUAUAGAUGGACCCGCGCCGUAUUAGCUAGUUGGUAAGGUAACGGCUUACCAAGGCGACGAUACGUAGCCGACCUGAGAGGGUGGUCAGCCACCCUGGAACUGAGGCACGGUCCAGACUCCUACGGGAGGCAGCAGUAGGGAAACUUCCGCCAUGGGCGAAAGCCUGACGGGGGAACGCCGCGGGAGUGGUGAAGGGUUUCGGCUCGUAAAACUCUGUUAUUAGGGAAGGACAAAUGUGUAAAUAACUGUGCACAUCUUGACGGUACCUAAUCAGAAAGCCACGGCUAACUACGUG
rnacentral:rRNA from 1 species